rnacentral:rRNA from 1 species
UACGGAGGGUGCGAACGUUAAUCGGAAUUACUGGGCGUAAAGCGCGUGUAGGCGGUUCGGUAAGUGGGAUGUGAAAUCCCCGGGCUUAACCUGGGAACUGCAUUUGUGACUGCAUGGCUGGAGUGCGGCAGAGGGGGGUGGAAUUCCGCGUGUAGCAGUGAAAUGCGUAGAUAUGCGGAGGAACACCGAUGGCGAAGGCAAUCCCCUGGGCCUGCACUGACGCUCAUGCACGAAAGCGUGGGGAGCAAACAGG